rnacentral:rRNA from 1 species
UACGGGGGGGGUAAGCGUUGUUCGGAAUUACUGGGCGUAAAGGGCUCGUAGGCGGCCAACUAAGUCAGACGUGAAAUCCCUCAGCUUAACUGGGGAACUGCGUCUGAUACUGGAUGGCUUGGAUUCGGGAGAGGAAUGCGGAAUUCCAGGUGUAGCGGUGAAAUGCGUAGAUAUCUGGAGGAACACCGGUGGCGAAGGCGGCAUUCUGGACCGAUAUUGACGCUGAGGAGCGAAAGCAUGGGGAGCGAACAGG